UCGGAGACGUAGUAGCGCCAAGCCUUCCGCGACAUCACAGUGACGCUACAGUACCUGGAGCUGGGCUGUUUUGUCUUCAGAGUGGUGCCUGGUAACCGCGACUUCCGCGACUUCCCCGCCAUGUUCUGUGUGUUGCUGGCUGGAGAAGGAUAGUUGACAAACUGACCCAGCACGGUGUUUCUGUGGGUCAAAACUAGAAAACUAUAUCCGGGCGCCGAGGUGGAAGGACCCCUUCAGUCCAGGAGUUAAAGAGCAGCCUGGGCAACAUGGCGCGACCCCAUCUCUGUAGUCCCACCUCAGCUUCCCAGAUACUUGAACCCCAAGGUUCAAGGCUGCAAUGAGCUAUGAUCCCAUCACAGCACUCCAGCCUGCGAGACUGAGAGACGGGGUUUCACCAUGUUGGCCAGGCUGGUCUGGAACUCCUGACCUGAAGUGAUCUGCCCACCUCGGCUUCCCAAAGUGCUGGGAUGACAGACAUGAGCCACUGCGCCUGGCCCCUUCAGGUGAAUUUUGAGGCUUCACUACGAUACUAGUUCCUUGUUGCUGCUGCAACAGAUUACUACACACUUAGCCGCUUAAAACAGCACAGAGAUAUUCCCUUACAGUUCUGAAGGCCAGAAUUCUAAAGUCAGUCCCACUGAGUCAAGAUGGGAGCAGAGUCAGUGCCUUACCAGGUUGCGUGGGAGAAUCUGUUUCCUGGCCCUUGGAGGCGGCCUGUACUCCUCAGCUUGUGCUGCCCUUCUCGAAUGACUUGAGUUUCCUGCUUUCAUCACUAUACCUCUCACCAUUCUCCAUCACCUGCUCUGCUCUUAUAAGGAUCCAGGAAUGUAUUAUGGAGAAUCAACUUUUGGUCAGUUUUCAGAGAAAUGGAAUAAUCGUAUCACUGAUCUACGUAAACAAGUUGAAGAAUUGUCUGAAAGAAAAUAUGGUGUGUCUAAACUCGAAAAGUCCUGUAAUAGUUUGUUCAUGAGCAUUUACACAAUGGAGUUGCAGUUUCAUCAUGGGGGUACUGUGGACAAGCCCAGGGCUGCUGGCUAAAGUGCAAUGGUGUGAUCUCGGCUCACUGCAACCUCUGCCUCCCAGGUUCAAGUGAUUCUCCUGCCUCAGCCUCCUGAGUAGCUGGGAUUACAGGCAUGUCCCACCAAGCCCAGACAUGAACUUAUGAAUUCAACACAUGAAGAUUUACAGCUUGACAAACCAGCAGCAGGAGGGAUUGUGCUGCAUUCGGACAUAGGUUCUGCCAUCAAACGCAGAAUGCCCUGAUCCUUAGAGACAGAGACAGCUCUUCAGCCUAUGGGAUGCAGCAAGAAGACCCUCACCAGAUGCAGGCCCCUCAAACUUGGACUUCCUAGCCUCCAGAACUCUCAAGCUCUUGGACUCACCGAGGCAGUAAAAGUACCAUGUCCUUCCUGUGUUUGAAUCAAACUCCAAUUUCCUGUAUGUAGAAGGCUUGCCAGACAGGAUUCCCUUCCGAAGCCCUACCUGGUUUGGAAUUCCAUGACUUGAAAGGAUCCUUCAUGGGAGUAAUAAAAUCAAGUUUGUUGUUAAAAAGUAAAUUCUAGGUGGGGCGUGGUGGCUCACAGCUGUAAUCCCAGCACUUUGGGAGGCUGAGGUGGGCAGAUCACCUGAGGUCAGGAGUCCGAGACCAGCCUGGCAAACAUGGCGAAACCCCAUAUCUACUAAAAAUUCAAAGAAUUAGCUGGGCGUGGUGACAGGUGCCUGGAAACCCAGCUACUCGGGAGGCUGAAGCAGGAGAAUCGCUUGAACCUGGGAGGCAGAGGCUGCAGUGAGCCGAGAUUACACCACUGCACUCCAGCCUGGGUGACAGAGCGAGACUCUGCUUCAACAACAACAACAACAAAAAACUUUGCAGUCCCCAAAAAGACCAUGAAGCCUUGAGAGUAAUGAAAAGCUUCCUGACAUUGAGGUCACUGUGGAAGGAAGUGACCUCAUAAUGACUCAAGCUACCACUUACUGUUGAUUGUGAUGAAAUGCCAGCUGAGGCACAUGCCUUGGGAGCUAAGUGGCUGCUGCACUUGACCACUAUGAAGACUGGUGUGGGAAGAAUCCUUUUGGAUGCACUUUAGCAGGGGCCCCUAAUCCCUGGGUCACAGGCCUCUACUGGGCCACACAGCAGGAGAUCAGCGGCAACAUUAGAUUCUCAUGUGAGCACGAACCCUAUUGUGAACUGUGCAUGCAAGGGAUCUACCUUGCUCUGUCCUUGGGAGAAUCUAAUGCCUGAUGAUCUGUCACUGUCUCCCAUCAUCCCCAGAUGGGACCAUCUAGUUGCAGAAAAACAAGCUAAGGACUCCCACUCAUUCUACAUUAUGCCUCAGCUGAGAUGUCUCACCCCACUCUCUAUGAUGCAACAAGAAGCCCCUGGAGAACGUUUCAGUCCCACUCUGUACUUCUGUCAUGUGCUCAUCACAGUCUGAACCACCUAAGCUAAAUAUUCUUUUGAGAACAAGGGCUAGCCUGUGGUUUCAUGGCCUUUCUUCCAUUUGUGGUUCUUGCCAAGUGGAAUUUAAAUGACCUCUUAUCAAGAUGGAUAAACCCAAGUUUCCCAGUGCUGGAAUAUAGAAAAUGGAUGGACAACUGAAUCUACCAUGAAAGACUUCAGAGUCCAGGAAGAGAGACUGACUGGGCAAUAUGUUAUUCAGAAUUAGAGAAGAAGAUGUGAUGAUGGAAGAAGAGGUCAGAGAGGGAGAUUUGAAGAUGCUGCAGUUCUGGCCUUCAAGAUAGGGUCAGGGGCUAUCUUCAAGAAUCUCACUCUCGCCCAGGGUGGAGUGCAGUGGUGCGAUCUCAGCUGCCUGAAGCCUUCACCUCCCAGGUUCAAGUGAUUCUCCUGCCUCAGCCUCUGGAAUAGCUGGGAUUACAGAGAUGGGGCCUUGCUAUGUUGCCAAGGCCGGCCUUGAACUCCUGCACUCAAAGGAUUUUCCUGUGUUGGCCUCCCAAAGUACUGGUAAUGCAGGCAUGAGCCAUUAUGCCCAAUGUCUCUGGUUCUUAACCUUCUGCCUCCCUCUUCCACAUUUAAAGAACUCUUGUAAUUACAUGGGCUCACCCAGAUACUGCAGGAUAAUCUUAUUUUAAGGUCAGCUGAUUAGCAACGUUAAUUCCAUCUGUACUGUUAAUUCCCUCUUCCUACGUAAUUGUGCGGUGUAACAUAGGACAUGAGCAGUUGGUGGGGGUCAUUACUUUGGCCAUCACCGUGACUAUUUUGUGCCAGGUACUGAAGUAAGCACUGGUGAAUUAAACAUGAAUAACACACACUCCCUAAUCUCCAUUCAUUUAUGGGAGGAACACCUCACUUCCCAUACUCCUGAGAAUCUGGAGAAUCAAGGAAGGCUUCCAGGAGGAGGUGGUGCUAAAGCGGACAAGUGACAGAGGAGCUGAAGCUAGCCAGGAAGAGAGUAGAGGUUUAAGGGGAAGCGUAUUCUAAGCAGAGGGCAUCACCCGCUUCGGAGGCUCCCAGAGGAGAGAGAGUGGGCAAUCAAGGGGCAGGUGAGGCUCAGUUGGACUCUAUAGCAGGUAAAAUGGAGAGGGGCAAGCAGUGAGGCUGCCUUGCAAGGUAGGGCAAAGUAGGGCCUGUUAAGGAGUUUGGACUCAAUCCCAAAGGCAAGGAGAAGUGAUGUAAACGGGGGAGUAAUGUGAUGAGAUUUCACGUAUUAGAGACAUGGCUCAGGCUGCUGUGUGGAGAAGGCACCAGGGGAGGCAGAUGGCUCAGUGGGUAUGCUGGAGACCUAAAGCAGGGGACACACUGAGUUUAGGGAGAGUUUUUUAAAAUAGAAGAAGUUUGAGUAAUUUAAAUGCUGGUGGGAAGGAGCUAAAAGCAGGGGACAGGUUAAAGAUACAGGGAAGUGGGAGGAAGAACUGACAAGUAAGGUUCCAGAGAGGGCAGGAGAAGAGAUUCUUAUAGGGGGAUUAGCAUUCCUCUCCCCUUCCCUCCCCUCUACUCCCCUCCCUUCCUCUAAGACAGGG